AGAGUUUGAUCAUGGCUCAUAACGAACGCUGGCGGCAGGCCUAACACAUGCAAGUCGAACGCUCGUAGCAAUACGGGAGUGGCAGACGGGUGAGUAACGCGUGGGAACCUUCCCAGUGGUACGGAAUAGCUCAGGGAAACUUGAGGUAAUACCGUAUAAGCCCUUAGGGGGAAAGAUUUAUCGCCAUUGGAUGGGCCCGCGUCGGAUUAGCUAGUUGGUGGGGUAAUGGCUCACCAAGGCGACGAUCCGUAGCUGGUCUGAGAGGAUGAUCAGCCACACUGGGACUGAGACACGGCCCAGACUCCUACGGGAGGCAGCAGUGGGGAAUAUUGGACAAUGGGCGCAAGCCUGAUCCAGCCAUGCCGCGUGAGUGACGAAGGCCUUAGGGUUGUAAAGCUCUUUUGGCGGGGAAGAUAAUGACGGUACCCGCAGAAUAAGCUCCGGCUAACUUCGUGCCAGCAGCCGCGGUAAUACGAAGGGAGCUAGCGUUGUUCGGAAUCACUGGGCGUAAAGCGCACGUAGGCGGAUGUGUCAGUCAGGGGUGAAAUCCCGGAGCUCAACUUCGGAACUGCCUUUGAUACAGCACGUCUUGAGUCCGGAAGAGGUGGGUGGAAUUCCUAGUGUAGAGGUGAAAUUCGUAGAUAUUAGGAAGAACACCGGUGGCGAAGGCGGCCCACUGGUCCGGUACUGACGCUGAUGUGCGAAAGCGUGGGGAGCAAACAGGAUUAGAUACCCUGGUAGUCCACGCCGUAAACGAUGGAUGCUAGCCGUCAGCAAGCAUGCUUGUUGGUGGCGCAGCUAACGCAUUAAGCAUCCCGCCUGGGGAGUACGGCCGCAAGGUUAAACUCAAGGAAUUGACGGGGGCCCGCACAAGCGGUGGAGCAUGUGGUUUAAUUCGACGCAACGCGCAGAACCUUACCAACCCUUGACAUUU
rnacentral:rRNA from 1 species